GCCGUGGCCUAGUGGAACACGCUCAGGUCACACUGCUGUGCACAGGGACCCUCAACCUUCACGGCACCCGUGAGAGCCGCAGGGCCCCGUUCCACGGCAGAGAAAGCCAGGCCUGCUGGGCCACUCACUGGGCCAGGGGGGCCCUCAAGCCAGGACCCCAAUCCCUGCCCCCGAUGGUCUCCUUCCUCCCUGGGAGCUGGAUCGGCUCCUGUGUUGGAUCCUAAUCAUCUCUGAAAUUGUCAGACAAGACACUCCAGUGAGACAGAGAGCAAACGUCACCAGCCAUGUCCCCAGCUGCAGACCUCUCCUGAUGGCCUCUCCACCAUCGUCUAAACACUCCAGGCUAAGGAGAGACUGGCUACAAGGGGCCAGGCCGCCCUGGGCCAGGCAGGGCUGGCACGGAGUGUCCUUGAGCACCACUCUCCUCCCACAGCCUCGGUUCCCUGUCUCUGAGGUGACAGGAACUGCGAGCGGGGCCACUUCUGCUCCAGGGGCCUCUCCGAGCCAAGGACGUCCCUGGGCUGCCACUUUACUUAGGCCGUUUCCAGCAUCUGGAGAGCUCGCUGGAUCCUGGGCCCAGGGGUACUCAGCUGCGCUUCUGUGGGUGCCUCAGGACGAGGUGUGCCAUUGUCCCUGGUACUGUCCCCACGGCUGGCUGCGGUUUCCCUUUCCCUCCCACGUGAGAGCAAAUCAGAACAAUUAAGGGAGGCAGCCGCCUGGCAGGCCCCACAUGGCAUGGUGGUGACCCGGUCACUGCUGUUGGUCAUGGCAGUGGGAGUGUGACCAGGUGUCUUCCCGCUGACCCUGACCCUGACCCCGCCUGUGUCUACACAGCAGGUCAAGGGCAACACCAGCUCCAAGGGGCGUGAGCACCCGACACACUUGUUGCAGUGGCUGGUGUCCCAUCCCUCCUGGGGAGGGGACAGUGGCCUCCAUCCUGAGGGUCCUGCUGCCCCACCAGUGAGGGGAGGAGAUGUGGAGUCCCAGACGCAGCCCGGGGGAGGACGGGGAGGGGAGCACAGCCCGCCAGGGACAGGCAGUUGGAUGUCUCCCCGCCCUGCAGUUCCGACCCCCACUCCCCUCGGCCCCCAGUGCUGCUGUCUGUCUGUCCAGCCAAUGGGCCAUCAGAGCCUCACAGCCCAGGAGCCGGGGGCAUGGAAGACGAAGGAUCUCCUGGAGAGUUCUAAACGGUUCUAUCUCAGGUAGACCCGAGGCCCAGGGCCCCACCCACGUCUGUCUUUCCACCACUUUGUGAAACAGGAGCUUGGGCUGCCCAGGGGCAGGCUCUUCCCUCUGUGGCCCGUUAGGCAGCAUCUGUCACCGGGUCCUGCUCCCAAGCCCUCCAUCCACUCCUCUUUCAAGCCCUCGUUUACUCUCCAACUUGUAAACCCUGGGGAUAAUCCUGGAUUCUGCCCUUGACGUUUAUUUACUUGGAAUUUUUAUUUUGCAACAGUUCUGGGUUUUCAGACAGGACAGACAGCUCUGGUGCACCCCUUUCCCCCGGCUGUGCCAAGGUCAUCGUGUCACUGAGGAGCCUGGAAAUGCCUCCACAUGACGCCGUUCACUAACCUGCUCCGAGCGCAGACUUGACUUGACUUUCACCGGUUUCUCUGCUGCUGUCCUCAGCCUCUUUCAGGACACAGCCCAGAUGCAUGUGCUCUUUUGCCAAGUGUCAUCUGAAUUACCCGCUGGUCUACCCAGGAGGGCAGGACAGCCUCCCGUCAGCAAUGUUGAAAUGUUCAAGAGUCCCCAAAGUAGAAGGUACUGAAGAGGGUCUACCCCGAAAGAACCUUACACCAUUCCACGGGCCAUGGGCCACCGUUGCCUUGGAAACAUGAGACACACCUGCGUGAUUCUGGAAGGACUGGCUCUGGCGCCCUAAUCAAGAGUGCACCAAGUCUAGGGAAAGGAGCGAUGGCCAGAGAUUUGGGCCAGAAUGGGGAUUCUCUUUCAGUUGAUUCCUGUUAAAGGAAGAUUUUCAUUUCUGUGAGCUCGGAGGACCCGUGCGUGACGGUGGGAAGGAAGGAGACCGAGCAGAAAUGCAGUCUGAACACCUGGCCUGCCACGUCCCCUCCCUGGGCUCCUGGGGCAGCUCCCAGGGCUCAGGCAAAACGCUUGUGUUUCUGGUUUAUCAUAAAGGAUA